rnacentral:rRNA from 1 species
GGGGAAUAUUGCGCAAUGGGGGAAACCCUGACGCAGCGACGCCGCGUGAGCGAAGAAGGCCUUCGGGUUGUAAAGCUCUGUUGUAAGGGACGAAAGAAUAAGGGAGUAACUGCCCUUAAAGUGACGGUACCUUACCAGCAAGCCCCGGCUAACUACGUGCCAGCAGCCGCGGUAAGACGUAGGGGGCGAGCGUUGUCCGGAAUUACUGGGCGUAAAGAGCACGUAGGCGGGUGUUUAAGUCAGGUGUGAAAGACCGCAGCUCAACUGCGGGGUUGCACUUGAAACUGAACAUCUUGAGGGCAGGAGAGGUUAGUGGAAUUCCUGGUGUAGCGGUGAAAUGCGUAGAAAUCAGGAGGAACACCAGUGGCGAAGGCGACUGACUGGACUGACCCUGACGCUGAGGUGCGAAAGCGUGGGGAGCAAAC